rnacentral:rRNA from 1 species
GAUGAACGCUGGCGGCGUGCCUAAUACAUGCAAGUCGAGCGAACGGACGAGAAGCUUGCUUUUCUGAUGUUAGCGGCGGACGGGCGAGUAACACGUGGAUAACCUACCUAUAAGACUGGGAUAACUUCGGGAAACCGGAGCUAAUACCGGAUAAUAUUUUGAACCGCAUGGUUCAAAAGUGAAAGACGGUCUUGCUGUCACUUAUAGAUGGAUCCGCGCUGCAUUAGCUAGUUGGUAAGGUAACGGCUUACCAAGGCAACGAUGCAUAGCCGACCUGAGAGGGUGAUCGGCCACACUGGAACUGAGACACGGUCCAGACUCCUACGGGAGGCAGAAGUAGGGAAUCUUCCGCAAUGGGCGAAAGCCUGACGGAGCAACGCCGCGUGAGUGAUGAAGGUCUUCGGAUCGUAAAACUCUGUUAUUAGGGAAGAACAUAUGUGUAAGUAACUGUGCACAUCUUGACGGUACCUAAUCAAAAAGCCACGGCUAACUACGUG